UCCUUAUAUUCUUAUAUGUGCGCACUAUCUAGCCCACCUAUCUAGUAAUUUGGUGCCACCCUUGUUCCUGUUUCCUUGAUAGAUGUCCUAUGCCAGGCACAGGUAGAGCAGUCAUGUGCUGUGUGAGCGCCUGCCCUGCUCAUGCCGCUUCGCUACGGCCUUGCAUGCUGUACAGUCUAGCAGAUUGGGCGCAGGGCAGCCUGGCACCCUGGACACUCUGUUAAAGGCCGGCAUAGGACAACUAUGCCCGGCUUUAGGAAAGCAGCGCUGGUACAGACAGGAUCAGCGACGAUUAGCGUACAACGCUCCCAUAAACUGCAGUGCACGGAGUGCAUAUUGCUGAAAGGCAUAGGUACCCGAAUGUCAGUUGCCCAUAUUGCUUGGAAAACAAUAAAUUAUUUUAGAGCAUUUAAAGUAGGUUUUAAUAAACUUUAUACAUUUAGGUAAAGGGGUGUUCUCUAACCAUAUAUAUGUAUACCUAUUCCGCCUCCUUGAUUAUCAUUAUAGAGCUCAUGUUAAACAAUGGGUGUUAUUGGAACAAUAAUUUUUUUAAAACACUUGCUUGGGUACAGUCCCCCAAGAGACCUCAAGUCACCUCUUCGGCACAGGUCACAUUACACCUCUGGAAUAGGGCCUCUCAGUGAGUCCUUCCUUGGCCAAGGGCUGCAGGGGAUCCCCGGUUAUAGGAUUUUAGCAGGUUCUGAGUUUCGCACUCUCUCAGAGCUUCAGGCACCAUCUCCUUCUCUCGUGGCUGGAACACACUCCACUGCAGUGGAGAAAAGACCUUCCUUCAGUCUCACUCCCUUUGAGAAAAGCAGCACAAGGCCGCAACAUAGCAAAAUGUGAAAGAUUCGAAAGACUUUCCAAAUCCAUUGUACCAUAUUCUGAGGAAACAUCUAAUCUGACCAAGGUCACCAUUUGCAUGGAGUUUGUAUGUUCUCCCCGUGGAUUUCCUCUGGGUUCUCCGGUUUCCUCCCACACUCCAAAGACUUACUGGUAGGGACCUUAGAUUGUGAGCCCCAUUGGGGACAGCUUGAUGCUAAUGUCUGUGAGGCGCUGCAGAAUAUGUCAGCGCUAUAUAAGUGCGUAAAAAAAAUAUUGCUAUCCCAGACUCACAGGCACCCAGAAUUGACUUGGCCUUGCUGUCAAUUAGAGACACCCCAAUAGCAGACAACACCACAGAUCAGACGAUGAGAAACUUCAGACUUGGCACCUAAGUGCUAUGAAUAUCUGAAUUUGAAAACGAUAAACAUGUUUGGACCAGAGUUCAUGCAAUAGAUAAAGAAAAGGAAUCGGGGCUCACAAAUCAUUUUCGGAGCCUCUUAUCAGUACUUUAUCAGAAGUAGAGCUUCUGUUGAUCCUAGAGACUCUGGGCCCUGGCGAUCACAUGACUGCUGGGACCAGAGCAGGAAGCAGCAUUGCAGUCUCUGCACAGACAUGUUUCAAAUAUCCUUGCAAAGGUACUGUAUGUACCAAUGACCCAGACAUAUAGAGUGAACGGGUGGUCGGCAAGGAGUUAAAUAUAAUGAAAACUGCUCUAAACCUGCCAUUAGAAAAAUUUCCCAAAGAAGGUAGCCUUUCUUCAAGUUAGACGAGAGGCUAGACCAUGAGGCGUUGCUUGCCGGGAAGAUUUCAGACACCAGUCAGGACAGAAGGGCUGGAUAAACUACAUAUUUCCAAUAUUCAAGCCUCAUGUGUCAUUAAAACCAGUUUUAAACAUUCAACCACUCUGCAUAUUUCUGAAACAGAAAGGAUUCUUUCUAAAAACACAACCGGUGAGAUUUCUCUUGGAAAGAGUAAUUCUCUCUAGAGAUAGACUUGAAGGACACUGUUCGUUCAGCCUUUGUAGCCUCCAAACACAUGCAUUUACUCAACUUCAAAAGGAGAAACCUAGAGAUAUUAAAAGCUUAUCCCAGGAAUUUAAAACUCUUUUAGACCUCAUGCACACGACCGUUGUUUUGGUCCG